GCCGGAGACCAGUUCCCAGGCGGUGGCCCUGGCCGAAGGCUUCCUCCUGAGUCAGGCCGAGGGGGAGAGGCAGGCGGAAGAGAAGUGGGGACCGUCUGUGGAGAUGGAGGUGAAGCCCUCUGAGGAGGAAGAAGGGUCUCCUCUGGAGGAAGAGCAGAAGGCGAGGGGCCAGGAGCGUGCCCAAGAUGCCCUCUCACGUGGCAGUGAAGAGACAGUGUCGAGCUGUCGUCGUAUUUGCAGAGGAGUGGAAACGGCUGCGGCCCCAGCUGCCC